rnacentral:rRNA from 1 species
AUUGAACGCUGGCGGCAUGCUUUACACAUGCAAGUCGAACGGUAACAGGCCGCAAGGUGCUGACGUGUGGCGAACGGGUGCGUAAUGCAUCGGAACGUGCCCAGUCGUGGGGGAUAACUACUCGAAAGAGUAGCUAAUACCGCAUACGAUCUAUGGAUGAAAGCGGGGGACCGUAAGGCCUCGCGCGCUUGGAGCGGCCGAUGUCAGAUUAGGUAGUUGGUGGGGUAAAGGCUCACCAAGCCAACGAUCUGUAGCUGGUCUGAGAGGACAACCAGCCACACUGGGACUGAGACACGGCCCAGACUCCUACGGGAGGCAGCAGUGGGGAAUUUUGGGCAAUGGGCGCAAGCCUGAUCCAGCAAUGCCGCGUGCAGGAAGAAGGCCUUCGGGUUGUAAACUGCUUUUGUACGGAACGAAACGGCUCUGGUAAAUACCCGAGGCUAAUGACGGUACCGUAAGAAUAAGCACCGGCUAACUACGU